GGCCCCAGGACUCAUUCUGUGCUAUUUACUAAAUAGAAACAUAUAGUUCGUCCACCAUAUGACAUAUAAAAAAAAAUUCAUGCCGGGCGCGGUGGCUCAAGCCUGU